AUUCUUAAUAACUAUACUCUUUUAUUAUAUUCUACUAAAUUUUCUUCCUAUCUUCCAUCUAACUAAACUUGUAAUUAAUUCCUAACACUCAAUACUAUGGUCUAUCCUCGACAGUGGUGCCAAAAUGUGAUUGUCGUUUUACUUAUUCUACAAUUCCUUUUAGAAUAAACUUAUAUAGGAAAAUUCGAACACAGGGAAAGACUAAGUGCAUGAGUUUUACUUGUUAGGAUUAUACAAUUAAUCAUAUUUUGAAUCACUAAAACACCAAGAAAUACUACAAUGCUUUCUCUUAAUAACAAUUCUCCUUCAUCAACUGAUAACAAUAGUGUGCAAUCCUGACUCUCAAAAGAUUGCUCAAAAUACAUAAUUUCUAUCCAACACCGGAAAUAACACACUUCAUUCCAACCAAUAUGAAUUCACAUAAUUUAUAUAAUCACAAACAUCCUCUGUCAAAAUACACACAGUUGUCAAAAAACAAAAAUCAUAAUCUUCCAAAAACUCUUCAUAUAAUUCAAACACUCAGUGCUCUAAUUAUAUAAACAAUAACUCAUAAAUCAAUCUCUGAUUUAUUCCAAAGACUCACCUCUCAAUAUUCAAAAACUAUACAUUAUUUUUCAACAACAAAGAAACAAAGAGACAAAGAGGUAGCACCAAGCUUAUCCAAACUCAUGACUAUCACAGUCUGG
rnacentral:lncRNA from 1 species